AAAAUACUCCCUCCGUUCAACAAAAGAUGUCUCAAGUUUGUCAAAAUUUGGAUGUAUUUAGACAUGACUUAGUGUAUAGAUGCAUUCAAAUUUAGUCAAAGUUGAGACAUCCUUUGUUGGACGGAUAGAGUACUUA
rnacentral:pre_miRNA from 1 species